CAUUAAGCAUCUAAUUGAUAGUAUAAGAUUUUUACUCUUAUUAUAGUAUGUACAUAUACUCUUAAUGA
rnacentral:tRNA from 1 species